rnacentral:ncRNA from 1 species
GCAGAGUAGCUGCAAGCGCGUUAAGUGUUCAUGAACGGGGAGUUGUCAUGAAACGAAGCCUGGAAAGGCGCGGUGGUUGCGGCGCAUCCCGCUG